UUGAACGCUGGCGGCAUGCUUUACACAUGCAAGUCGAACGGCAGCGCGGGCUUCGGCCUGGCGGCGAGUGGCGAACGGGUGAGUAAUGCAUCGGAACGUGCCCAGUAGUGGGGGAUAGCCCGGCGAAAGCUGGAUUAAUACCGCAUACGACCUGAGGGUGAAAGCGGGGGACCGAAAGGCCUCGCGCUAUUGGAGCGGCCGAUGUCGGAUUAGCUAGUUGGUGGGGUAAAGGCUUACCAAGGCGACGAUCCGUAGCUGGUCUGAGAGGACGACCAGCCACACUGGGACUGAGACACGGCCCAGACUCCUACGGGAGGCAGCAGUGGGGAAUUUUGGACAAUGGGGGCAACCCUGAUCCAGCCAUGCCGCGUGCGGGAAGAAGGCCUUCGGGUUGUAAACCGCUUUUGUUCGGGAAGAAAUCCUCUGGGCUAAUACCCCGGGGGGAUGACGGUACCGGAAGAAUAAGCACCGGCUAACUACGUG
rnacentral:rRNA from 1 species